AGCACCAAGCAGAGUACAGAACACAUAGUAGGCUCCCUUCAUUGAAAUAAAGAAGACAGGGACCAUUUUUGAGAAAAAGGAGAAGAUGGCAAGGAAAAACUCUCUCUUUCCCCUAGGAGCUCUGAAGAAGAAAGGGCAUGGAGAGAGGAAGGUAGGUAGUCCUACGUGCAUGUGUCAGACUCUGAAUAGAGAGCCACAGAGCCUUGCAGGAGGCUCGGGUAGCCCACAGGCUGUGUGGUAGAUGGCCUGGUACAGGAGCCCUUUGGAGGACUUAAGAGGGACUCAGAGUGAUCUGCAGAAGCAGGGAGAGUCGAAAGGAGGCCAGUCAACAGGGAGAGGCCCCUGGACAGGAUCAAGCUAUGAAACAUACCACAAAUUCAUCAGCUGCAGAACGCCCCAAGGAAGCAGCCAGCUAAACUAGAUCUUAGUGGACACCAGUCAGCAUUCACUCAAGGAGAAUCAUGGGGAGACCCCUUCUUCCAGAAGCUAUGAAGACCUUUCUCCUUUUCUCUGACACCAUCUUCAGAGAAGACAGAGGUGUAGGGAGGAAUCUGAAUAAUAACUAAAAGAUAAUUUACCCCGCAGGACUAAGUUUUGAACCAGCCUACAAAUACAACACCUGUACUUUUUCUGCACAGCUCAGUGUAGUAUGAGUAGUCCUGUGACUCUGAUAUAUAUGAAGUCAUUCAAUAGAUAAAGCUAAGAAGACAAGAAAGUAUGGGGUGUAUAUGAUGUGGUUGUAGGAAGUGAAUGACUUUCAGACAAUGUUCAAAUUCUCUGAAGAACUUGUAGUCACAAAAUUCACUUUAAUGCAACAGCAUUGACCUUGAGCAAAAUUCUUCCUAAACAUCUAGCUCAAAACAGCAUUCACUGAGCACUUGUGCUAGCUACUGCAGACACUCUAUUAAAUAAAACUCGCUUGCAAGGCACUUACACAUCAGCACCAUCUUCCCUUCCAAUGCCAGAGUCUACCUAUGGAAAUCUGCUUUCAAGAAGCUUCCAGUGUUUGUCAUGUAUACCUUAGUGUAAAUUAAGUGAAUGUGUUAUCUCACCAUAAUUUGUGAUUUGUUUGUUUGUUGUAGUGGUUGUUGUUUACUGUCAUUUCCGACUAUAAAAGUAAAGCUUUGAUCUCUGCUGGA